rnacentral:rRNA from 1 species
AUUGAACGCUGGCGGCAUGCCUUACACGUGCAAGUCGAACGGCAGCACGGGGCAACCUGGUGGCGAGUGGCGAACGGGUGAGUAAUGCAUCGGAACGUACCUUUCAGUGGGGGAUAACGUAGCGAAAGUUACGCUAAUACCGCAUAUUCUGUGAGCAGGAAAGCAGGGGAUCGCAAGACCUUGCGCUGAUUGAGCGGCCGAUGUCAGAUAAGCUAGUUGGUGAGGGAAAGGCUCACCAAGGCGACGCUCUGUAGCGGGUCUGAGAGGAUGAUCCGCCACACUGGAACUGAGACACGGUCCAGACUCCUACGGGAGGCAGCAGUGGGGAAUUUUGGACAAUGGGGGCAACCCUGAUCCAGCCAUGCCGCGUGAGUGAAGAAGGCCUUCGGGUUGUAAAGCUCUUUCGGCCGGGAAGAAAUCGCACGGGCUAAUACCCUGUGUGGAUGACGGUACCGGAAUAAGAAGCACCGGCUAACUACGUGCCAGCCGCCGCGGUAAAAC